AUGGAUGCCAAAGGUUGCUCUCAGUCUUGCACAUCUCUGAACCCAGCCAAUUUUUUUUGGAAAUGCCCAACGAAUGUGAAGGACAAGAAGGUUGUUCCUCUGUUCUUUAAUGUUCAGAGUCAAGUAGUAUGUCAUGGUUUUCCUGAUGUUUGGUUCAUACAAGUUGCUGAACCGAGUAUAUUUGGAAAGGUCAAAGACUGGCGUUUCUUCACGUGGUUAGUCAGGUGCUUGGACAUGGUCGUGCAAAUUCAGAUGAUAAAUGUGUCCAUCAUCAGCAAUGCAUCUGCUCGUAGCAUGUCGCGGGAAAUGCAGCGACUUAUUGAUGCUCCGAGGCUUGAAUUUAUUGCUAUGAGAGUUCAAAUUGAUGCUAUCAGGCUUUGA
rnacentral:rRNA from 1 species